GGACAGAGACGCGCAGGGGAGAGAGGCCGGCGGGCGACCGCGACGGAGACGGAGACCCCGCGGGCAGAGGGCGAGCGGGGCCGCAGGAGGCAGGGAGGCCGGGAGAGGGACCGGGACGCGAGCGCGGCGGAGACCCCGGCGGCAGGAGAGAGACGCGAGAGCGGUCGGGGAGGUGGCGACAGAGCCCGGCCGGCGGGGGCGGGGAGGGCGACCCCAGGCCGGGAGGCCG
rnacentral:lncRNA from 1 species